GCCCCGCCGGGCUCCCACCACCCUUCCGUGCCUCAUCGCGGCCGGCGUGGCGCAGUUCCCGGUGGCAGGGGGCGGCGCGGCAGCGGGGAGCGCCCUCAGCUCCCGCGGGCUCGGACGCUGCCCGGCCCGCCGGGUUUUCCUAGAGUUUAGUUUAUCAUCUAAAGACUGAAUAUGGACCCUGAAAGUGAAAUAAAGAAGCAAAUAAACCCCUUUUAUUGCAAUAUUUGCAAAAUCUGGUGUUCUUCUGCAUUAAACUUGCAAACUCAUUUCCUUGGAACAAAACACAGGACGGUUGAAGAAGCAUUGAAAACUCAUGGCAUGCUUAAAGCAGAAAAUUGCUUAGGAAAGAAAUUGAAAACACCUGUGAAACUUCCUGAUUUUGAUUUUUACUUUUGUUUUCUUUUUGUUAAAACAGAAAGUUGCUUAGGGAAGAAAGUGAAAACAACUGCAAAACUUCCUGAUUUUGUGCCACUUGAGCCAGAGAAGUUUCAUGGACAGACAUUGGAAGACCAACUUAAUACAUGUAAAGAUUCAGAACCUGCACUUGGACUUAAUUACAUAAUAGAAUACCGAACAAAAGACAAUGUUCCUUUUCUCUAUGAAUGUCAGCUCUGUUACUGUAAAACAGGACUAAGUAACAUGUUCAUGCAUGUUUGUGGUUCCAAGCACAGACUGGCAUACUUGAGACAGCAUUAUCCAGAGAUAGCACAAUCUGAUGAAGUUAAGGGUAAAGGCUCUGAACUAAACAAAAGAGUUAGGCAAAUUGGAUUAACAAUUGAGAAGAAAGAAGGAAGAAAACAAAUACAGGUUGUUAUAGGUGUUCCAGUGAAAAGAAAAUGGCAAGAAUCUCUCAGUGCAGAGGACAGCCCUUCAAAGGCUAAAGUUCAGCACGCAGAUGUGCCCCUUAUUAAUGCAGAAAAAACAGAUAAUAAAGAUGGGAAACUCACAGACCCUGUGCAAGAUGAAAAUAAUGUUCAGGAGGAGAAUGAAGAAAGGCAGAAAGAACAGCCAAAACCAGAUGAAAAAGUUGAAUCUAAUAAUGCUAUUGAAAGAAGCAAAGGCAGCAACUCAGAAUGGUGUGAGACCAAUGAACAAUUAGAGGAAGAAAACAAGGAAGCUCAGCAAGAAUUUACAGCAGAUCCUGAAGAAUUCACUAGUCAAGAAGAACUGUUGGGUUAUUUGCAAAGUUUUGAGAUACUGAAUGAAGAUGAUGCUUCAUUUAUCUUGAAAGUUACACAGACUCUCACAAAUGCACUGGUGGAAUAUCGUCAACAGGCUGCAUCAAGCAAAGACCACUUAGGUGCUGGAUAUAAUGGAGAAACAGAACUAGAAUAUUCCACAGAACAACCUGGCCCAACUUCAGCAGAUAUUAAUGACUCUGACACUGACCACUCAAGCAGCCAAUCAGCUAACCAGUUCUUACCAGCCAACGAAGAUGAACCCCAGAACUUUUCAACUGGCUCUUUGGAAACAGCAUAUGAGAACAACAUCACGACUGAGUUUUUGAACAGUGUAAGAAACAUGAAUGCUGAGGAAGUUACUGACACCCUACACAAAAUAGCAGCAUCAAAUCCAGCUUUCAGAGGAAUUGAUAUACCGAAAGUUGUAAGGAUCCUGACUGAAAGUGGAACUCUGAGGGGACCAAGCAAUGGCAGCACACAGUGACACGGUACUUAAAGAGAUAAUGUAGCAAUGUUUACUUUCUGUAAGUUUGUUGUUUUACUUCAUUUGACCUCAGUGGAGUUAUUUUGUUAUGUUUAACUUUUGCACAGUGUUUUUUAAAUUAAAUUAAUAACUUGGUUGUAAUAUUCUUGUUAUGUAUUUUUCCAUUUAGCUGAAACUUCUGUAUUGUGGAAAGGUUGUAAAGCUCAUGCUCAUUCUUUCUGUGUUACAACAGGUAACUUGCUUUCUUCAGUAUUAUUAAAUACUGUACAUUGACAGUCUGAACCUUUCUUAUUGUUGGUUCUUUUACAAAGAAUUAUCAGCAGAAUAAACUACUGCACUCAGCAGUACAAACUCAUCCUACAAGAAAUGUUUGGAAGUUAUUCCCUGUGGCUGUUAGGACUGACUAAAAAGCCUUUGUAAUCAAAAACCAUUUCCAGUAUAAGGGUUAUGAACAGGUCUCCACAUUUUACUAAAAAGUCAGUGCUGUCAGUCUCAUGCUGAAAUAGAAGUGCCUGGAUUAUAGCUGAUUUAGGGAGCAUAGAAGCUCAGCAAAGUUAGGUAUGUUUUGCAAAUUUAGAGAUAUUUCCCAACAGGAAAUAAAAGAAGGCUCUGGCUAAGAGGCACCGAUGUAGUGGCAAAAGUAUCUUUUGUAUUUUAUCCUGCCAGCAUGAAAAUGAAAUGAAUGCUGGCUUACACUGUCCUUCAGGCUCUUUUAAAAUGAACUUUUUUCCAGCUAAAGUAGUACUGGUCCUGACUGAAUGUACAUGUCUAUAUAUUAAUGACUUCUACUUUUGUAGGAAGGUGAAAAAAUGUUGUGAAUGGUUAUUAAUUAAUUUGCUUGGGAAAAAAUAUUUUUUUAAAAUGAAGCUGUGUGAUUAAAAUUCACUUCCUGCUUGUGAUGCUGGGUAGCAUUCAGUGGUUCUAAUUAAAGCUCUUCAGCUUGCAGCCAAAUACUGGUAUAAUUUAGACAUGCUGGGGCCAGAUGGCAAAUGAACUUUUUAGUGUUAACUUACACUUUUUUUUUUGAGAUCUGGAUGGAAUUUGAGAAUCUUGAUCCUGUGAUGGUUUCACAUCUUCAUACCAUGGAGUGCAAGAUGCAGUAAAACUAAGGAGGAGCAUGCUGAAAAAGGAAGAGACCUCUAGGUCUGUAGUACACUGACAUAAAAUGGUGGAAUGGUGUGCUGCAGAGUGCUGCUGUACCUCUCAAAGAUAGCUGAGAAACCUGGACUGGGCAAGAGUCAGCAAGUGUACGCUUCUGGAGAUGUUUUCAAAGAACACAGUCCAACGUAGUCCAUUCAGCUGUACAAUUAUUUUUAUUUUUUCCUUUCUUACCUGGUGCAAAUAGAGGCUGAAGAAGCAUUGUAUUAUUUUCUUCUUGUAUCUGCCUCUGUUUUGUGAUGGCUUGGUGUAUUCUUAUACUAAUGGAAAAUUGUAUAUUUGUUCCAAAAUAGAUUUUAAUGUUUUACUUGUGCCAGUACUGCAAAGUAAGGAAGAAAAAGACAUUAUCUUUACUGAUAAUAUUUAAACAGUGCUGUUGGCUGUAUUAUACAUUUUUGGUUUCUCACAUUAACAGCAAGGCAGACUUCUGAGGUAACUAGAAAAUUAAUAAAAGUUAAGCAAUAACAAAAAUUAA